CUUAAGAUGGAUUUAAUAUUUGCUCAUGAACUCAGUUUCAAGAUGUAAUUGCAUCAAAUCAAUUUCAUUAGAGUUUUGCUAUGCCAUUCAUUGGUCCACCAAAAAGCAACACAAACAGAAACCCAAAUUCAAAUCAUGAACACAAUCAUCAUGUUCAAAUGAUUUCUUAUUUUCUAUGUUUAUUUAUUUUUUUAUUCUUUCUUAGUGAGCUGUAACAUACGAAAUUUUCACUUCUAACAUUGAAGGUCAUUCUGAUACCCACACUUGAUAAAAAUAAAUAUACAAAAAUAAAUGAUUAAGCUGUAAACAAUUACUGUUUUCUAUAGUGUGAUUACUUCUCCUUACCUAGUUAUUAGUUUUGAAGCAAGUAUACGCAGGGGACAAAUUGGAUAACUUAUAGUGAUCGAAUGCAGGACUUGUAAAUACUGCUUAAUAUUGAAUUAAAUAUUAAAUACUGCUCAAUAUUGAGAGGAUCAAAUAAUGCAAUUGGGUAGUUCCUAAUGUGGAAAGAGACCGAAAUCUCUAUUACAGGAGUGGAAAAUCGAAAACACAUAUGAAUGAGAUUAACGAUUCAUUCGUCCUUGGACAUGUGAACCAUGAAGACUUCGUGGCGGGUCCUAUUUAUUGUAUGACUUGACGAAUGCGUC
rnacentral:lncRNA from 1 species